GCAAACUUGGUCAUUUAGAGGAAGUAAAAGUCGUAACAAGGUUUCCGUAGGUGAACCUGCGGAAGGAUCAUUAUUGAAUAAACUUGGUAGGCUGUAGCUGGCUCUUUGGAGCAUGUGCACGUCUGCCAUCUUUAUCCACCCACCUGUGCACCUUUUGUAGUCUUGGGGUUGAUAGUGGCUGACUCUCGAUUGGGUUCUAUGACCUUGUCGGAUGUGAGAAUUGCUAGUUAGCUUUUCUUAGGAAGCCCUAACUUCUCUCAGGUCUAUGUCUUUUCAUAAACCACAUAGUAUGUUACAGAAUGUACUCAUGGGCCUCUGUGCCUAUAAAACUUUAUACAACUUUCAGCAACGGAUCUCUUGGCUCUCGCAUCGAUGAAGAACGCAGC
rnacentral:misc_RNA from 1 species